CAUAGCGACUAUCGUGGCAUAUCAAUAAGCGGAGGAAAAGAAACUAACAAGGAUUCCCUUAGUAACGGCGAGUGAAGCGGGAAGAGCUCAAAUUUGAAAUCUUCAAGGUUCUACCUUGACGAAUUGUAGUUUAUAGAAGUGUUUUCUGUUAGUAGAGUGGCAAAAGUUCUUUGGAAUAGGACAUCAUAGAGGGUGAGAAUCCCGUAUUUGACCGUUAUUUUCUAGCUUUGUGAUACACUUUCAAAGAGUCGGAUUGUUUGGGAAUGCAGUCCAAAAUGGGUGGUAAAUUUCAUCUAAAGCUAAAUAUUGGCGAGAGACCGAUAGCGAACAAGUACCGUGAGGGAAAGAUGAAAAGAACUUUGAAAAGAGAGUUAAACAGUACGUGAAAUUGUCAAAAGGGAAGCGUUUGACACCAGUGUUGUUUUUCCGAAAAUCAAUUACGAAUGUUUCUUUUUGAGAAGUUAUGACUUCAUCGGCUUGCUCCUUUCUUUAUGAAACUUUCUUAAUGCACUUUUCGGUUAACAAGUCAACAUCAAUUUCUUUUGUUGUAAAAGGGUAUGAGGAAGGUGGCUUUCUUUUCGGAGAAAGUGUUUAUAGCCUUGUGCCUCUGCAAUCGGAGAGAUUGAGGUCUGCAGCGUAGAUCCUUCGGGGUUAGAUGCGUUUGUGCUAAGUUAUAGCUUUUCAUAGACAACUUGUUGACUAUGUUUAGUCUUGUAGCUUACUCGCAGACGCUAUUUUACCUACGCUUAGGAUGUUGAUAGUCACAGCGUGUAC
rnacentral:rRNA from 1 species